rnacentral:rRNA from 1 species
UACGUAGGGUGCAAGCGUUGUCCGGAAUUAUUGGGCGUAAAGAGCUCGUAGGCGGUCUGUCGCGUCGGCUGUGAAAACCCGGAGCUCAACUCCGGGCCUGCAGUCGAUACGGGCAAACUGGAGUGUUGCAGGGGAGACUGGAAUUCCUGGUGUAACGGUGAAAUGCGCAGAUAUCAGGAGGAACACCGGUGGCGAAGGCGGGUCUCUGGGCAACAACUGACGCUGAGGAGCGAAAGCGUGGGGAGCGAACAGG